rnacentral:rRNA from 1 species
GCGAAACCUUCGCAAUGCGCGAAAGCGCGACGAGGUUACUCUGAGUGCCAUCCGCUGAGGAUGGCUUUUCUUGGGUCUAAAAAGCCCAAGGAAUAAGGGGAGGGCAAGUCUGGUGUCAGCCGCCGCGGUAAUACCAGCUCCUCGAGUGGUUGGGGCGUUUAUUGGGCCUAAAGCAUCCGUAGCCGGCUCCAUAGGUCCUCCGUUAAAUCCAACGGCUCAACCGUUGGGCUGCGGAGGAUACCGUGGGGCUAGGGAGCGGGAGAGGCGGACGGUACUCCGUGGGUAGGGGUAAAAUCCGCUGAUCCACGGAAGACCACCAGUGGCGAAGGCGGUCCGCCAGAACGCGUCCGACGGUGAGGGAUGAAAGCUGGGGGAGCGAACCGGAUUAGAUACCCGGGUAGUCCCAGCCGUAAACGAUGCGAGCUAGGUGAUGGAGCGGCUACGUGCCGUCCCAGUGCCGCAGGGAAGCCGUUAAGCUCGCCGCGUGGGGAGUACGGCCGCAAGGCUGAAACU